GAGUGGCGAACGGGUGAGUAAUACAUCGGAACGUGCCCUGUAGUGGGGGAUAACUAGUCGAAAGAUUAGCUAAUACCGCAUACGACCUGAGGGUGAAAGUGGGGGACCGCAAGGCCUCAUGCUAUAGGAGCGGCCGAUGUCUGAUUAGCUAGUUGGUGGGGUAAAGGCCCACCAAGGCGACGAUCAGUAGCUGGUCUGAGAGGACGAUCAGCCACACUGGGACUGAGACACGGCCCAGACUCCUACGGGAGGCAGCAGUGGGGAAUUUUGGACAAUGGGCGAAAGCCUGAUCCAGCAAUGCCGCGUGUGUGAAGAAGGCCUUCGGGUUGUAAAGCACUUUUGUCCGGAAAGAAAUGGCUCUGGUUAAUACCUGGGGUCGAUGACGGUACCGGAAGAAUAAGGACCGGCUAACUACGUGCCAGCAGCCGCGGUAAUACGUAGGGUCCAAGCGUUAAUCGGAAUUACUGGGCGUAAAGCGUGCGCAGGCGGUUGUGCAAGACCGAUGUGAAAUCCCCGAGCUUAACUUGGGAAUUGCAUUGGUGACUGCACGGCUAGAGUGUGUCAGAGGGGGGUAGAAUUCCACGUGUAGCAGUGAAAUGCGUAGAGAUGUGGAGGAAUACCGAUGGCGAAGGCAGCCCCCUGGGAUAACACUGACGCUCAUGCACGAAAGCGUGGGGAGCAAACAGGAUUAGAUACCCUGGUAGUCCACGCCCUAAACGAUGUCAACUAGUUGUUGGGGAUUCAUUUCCUUAGUAACGUAGCUAACGCGUGAAGUUGACCGCCUG
rnacentral:rRNA from 1 species